AUUGAACGCUGGCGGCAGGCCUAACACAUGCAAGUCGAGCGAGCGGCGGACGGGUGAGUAAUGUCUGGGAAACUGCCUGAUGGAGGGGGAUAACUCCUGGAAACGGUAGCUAAUACCCCAUACCAUCAGAUGUGCCCAGAUGGGUUUAGCUGGUAGGUGGGGUAACGGCUCACUUAGGCGACGAUCCCUGGCUGGUCUGAGAGGAUGACCAUACACACUGGAACGGAGACAAGGUCCAGACUCAUACGAGAGGCAGCAGUGGGGAAUAUUGCACAAUGGGCGCAAGCCUGAUGAAGCCAUGCCGCGUGUAUGAAGAAGGCCUUCGGGUUGUAAAGUACUUUCAGCGGGGAGGCGUUACCCGCAGAAGAAGAACCGGCUAACUCCGUGCCAGCAGCCGCGGUAAUAC
rnacentral:rRNA from 1 species